GAAGUUUCAAACAAAAUAUGCAUUGCCAUAUUUGCAUUUGAGAAGAAUCAAGCUGGGGUCACUACCUGUGGCCAGUAGAUUAGAUGGUGUCAGGCAAAGUUGACCAACCAGGUGAUCCAAAGACCCCAGCUGUGCCCAUAACUUCUUUAUGAUCUCAUGCAAGGUCAUAAACUCCACCCAAGUUCUUUGAGCCUCAGUUUUGUCUUCUGUAAAAUGUAAGAAGCAAUAACUACCUCUUAGGGAUGUAUAGAGAGAAUUCCCGCAGGAGAGAGAUGGCAUAUUUCAAAUUGAGACUAUUCGAUCCAGGGGCUGGUCAUCAAGAUGGAGCAGGGUAUAGAGAAGCCAUUAGGGAUGAUACAGAACACCACCAAAGGGUUAGUAACGGUGGGGAACUGUUUGCACCCCGAAGCCUGAAAGAGUGAAGUAGGGUGGGAUUACCUGGAAAGAGAGAGAGAGACAGAAGGAGAAUGAGAUUGAGGGAAGGGCUGCCUGGCAGGGGAAGCUGACGCCUUCAGGCAAGUGAAGAAGCCAGCCCGCAGCAACUCUGCAGGGAAGAAUAUAGGGAAAUAAACGCCUUCAUCUCUCUCUUGUCCCACCCGCAGAGCUCCUUCUGGGAUUCUCUAUUGGCUGAACUCAGCCAGAAGCUGCCAAGGGAGACCCCCACAACUGGAUGCAGCCCACUGAAGUCAGCUUCCUGGGGUGCGUAGCUGAAGGUAGCAGGGAGCAAAAAGAAUCUGAAGGGGAAGUGAACAAUGUAGAGCGUAUCUGUGCUGAAGACGUAAGGAGAGAGUGGAGGUCAGAAGCUGGCAUGGUCCCUGGUGCAUGUAUCAGCCGCUAAAGAAGUGGAGAGUAUGAACAUAAGCAAGAGGAAGUGAUGAGUAUCCCUUCCAGGAGAACUCUAAGAGGCAGUGAGUGAUUUGCUGGGCUCCCAAGCCCUCUGCUCUGAUGACAGCAAAGCCCCAAAUCAUGGUGCCUCCAUCAGUCGGGACCCCUCAGCAGAGCCAGCUUCACAGCUGGAGUGGAUGAAUCAGAACUUUCCCCAUGGGAGCAUUUAUAAAAAGGGGACACCCAGCGCAGAAGAUGUUUUCCAGGGAGAUCUCGGGGAGCCCAACAAGCCAAGAAGAGCAGAGCAAAGCAUUCCAAGGAAGGACUCUAAGUCUGCAACCGAGCACACACGAGAAAUCCCUAACCGUGCGGGGUAAGCCUGGAUGGCAAGGAGCUUAGAACACAACUCAGUGGUCAUGAGCCUGACGUCAUUCAUCACUUUGCAUACCUUCAAGUUCUUCCAACCUCCUCUCUCCUUCAAAAAUCUUACUUAGGGCUCUGCCUCUUCCAAGAAGCAGUAGCAAGUCCCCCAGCUGAUGAGCAGAAUAAAAAUUUUUACAAAUGUGCAUACCAAUGGAGUUAUUUUAGAAUAUGCCCAGGCCUGCAGAGGAUGACUGCAAAAGCCCCUACUAUUGGUAGAGCAGUGAGAAAAUUGGUUUCACUGUCAUGCCUUGUGUAUUAGUUAUCUAUUGACUUAUGCUAAUUGACUGAUGCUACAUUUUUUAAAAAAACCACAAAACCUCAGCAGCAUACAGCAAUAAGUUUGCAUUGCUUGUGCAUUUAGGGUGCUCAGCCAGGUGGUUCUGCUGAUCUUGCUGGGGAUUACUCAUGCCCAGGGCUUGGCUGGCUGUUGGCUGAUUGAGACUGGCCUCAGUGGGAAUGAUUCUGGCAUCUCAGUUUGCUCCAUGUAUCUCUCAUCCUCCAGGGUAGCCUACGCAUGUACGUCUUGCAGUGAUGGCAAGGAGCAGGAGAAAGAAAGCCCAUCCAAACAAGCAUAUUGGAAGCCUAUGUAUCCCAUAAGCUGACAUCUUGUUGCCCAAAGCAUGUCAUGUGCGUGGUCCAGAGUCAGUGUUGAAGGGCUCUGCAAAAUCACAUGGUAAAGACUGUGGUUUCAGGGAGGAGUGAAGAUUUGUGCGCAUUGCUCCAAUUGACAACCAUGGCACUAGGCUCAGGCCACACUUCUUCCUAACAAGAGAGCAAGUCAAAGCGUGGUUAGUUAAAGUCCAUACAAAAACUCACUUUAACAGGCCUCCUCUGGAUUGAACAGCUGAUAUUAAGUCAUAAGGUACCACAUCAGAAAGAUACUGGGUAUCUUUGGUUCAGCAAUUCCAUCACCAGGGACUUUUUCAUCCUAAGGAAAUCACUGCACGGUGGACAAAGAUAUAUGCAUAAGGAUGCUCCUUCUGGCCAAAGACCAAAAACAUAACUGGCCAUCAGUAAAAGCCAAGUGAGUAAACUAUGGUCUAUAUAUGCAAUGAUCAAAGAAAUAAAGGAAAAUAUAUAAUUCUCUAGAAAGUAUCAAGUAAUAUGGAAGGAAACUAGGCAGGGGAGGAGAAUGGGUGUGGGGGCAACAAGGAGAGGCCAGAGUGAGAAGGUGAGGCUGUGACCUCAGAAUGAUGAGGUGUGCGGGGAGGAGAUUCCAGGCAGUGGGACAGCAUGUGCAAAGGGCCAGCGUGUGUGAGGGGUCCUGAUGUCACCAACACUACCACUAGCCCUCCUCCAAGUCCUCUCCCAUGGGUCACAUGAGCUCAUAUGGUUGCAAUCCAAUUUCAAAAAGGUCUCCUAACUUACCAGGCUCAAGCUGUUACUGAGAGUCCACCUUGACUUCUCAGGGGUCACUCCAUUUUCCAAAGACCAACCAAUUAGGUACAAGAGCAGAAGGGCUGUGGCCAAACAGACUUGCUGGAAUUGCUCUUUGAAAGGGUAUGAGCCAAGAUUUUUUUAUUUUUUCUUUUUUUAGACAGAGUCUCACUCUGUUACCCAGGCUGGAAUGCAGUGGCACGAUCUUGGUUCACUGCAACCUCCGCCCUCCAGGUUCAAGUGAUUCUUCUGUUUCAGCCCCCCAAGUAGCUGAGACUACAGGCACAAACCACCACGUCCAACUAAUUUUUGUAUUUUUAGUAGAGACGGGGUUUUGCCAUGUUGGCCAGGCUGAUCUCAAACUCCUGACCUCAGGUGAUCCCUCUGCCUUGGCCUCCCAAAGUGUUGGGAUUACAGGUAUGAGCCACCCCACCUGGCCCAAGAUUUCUAAUAGGUGGGUGCUACAGGUUGAAUGUGUCCCCCAAAGUUGAUGUGCUGGAAACUUGAUCCCCAAUGCAACAGUGUUGGGAGGUGGGGCCUGAUGGGAGGUGUUUAAUGAGGGCUCCACUUUCAUUAAUGAAUUAAUGCCAAUUAUAAAAGGGCUGACUCGAGGCUGCAAGUUUAAUCUCUUGCUCUCUCACUCUUUCUCGCCCUUCCACCUUCUACCAUGGAAUGACACAGCAUGAAGGUCCUCACUAGAUACAGCCCCUCAAUCUUAGACAUCCCAUUCUCCAGAACUGUAAGAAAUAAAUCUCUGUUCCUCAUAAAUUACCCAGUCUCAGGCAUUCUGUUAUAGUAAUACUUCAUGGACAAAGACAAUGUGUGAGCAGAGGGAAGGGAGUAACCAAUGGGACCAGAGACAGCCUGGGAUGGAGGAGAAGAGAGAGGUUUUGCAAAUCAGUUGAGCUGGCUUUGCCUGGCCCCACCAUUUACCCACUUUAUGACCAAAGGCCUGUCACUUCACCUCUUGGAGCCUCAGUUUCCCCGUGAAUAUGAGAAUCACACCCACUGCUAAGGUCAUAAAGAUU
rnacentral:lncRNA from 10 species